rnacentral:lncRNA from 1 species
CCAGAUAUUUCAUACUUUUGUUGGGCAGGUAAAUCCACCCUUCCAGAGGUACUGCAGCUCUCCGCUCUCAGUGAUGCCUCAGGCUCUCUCAGAUUUGUAAGUGGCAUCCAUACUGAGCGGUUCUGUUCUUUUCUGAGUAAUGUUUCAGGUUCUUUGUGCUUUGAUAUAGAGCAGCUCUUCUCUUUGUUGAGUGAUGCCUCAGGUUCUUUGUGCUUUAGAAGUGGCAGCUGCAUAGAACUGCUCUGUUCCUUGCUGACUGAUGCCUCAGGUUCUUUGCGCUUUAGGAGUGGCAGCCGCAUGGAACUGCUGUGUUCCUUGCUGACUGAUGCCUCAGGUUCCUUGUGCUUUAGGAGUGGCAGUCGCAUGGAACUGCUCUGUUCCUUGCCGAGUGAUGCCUCAGGUCCAUAGUCCUUUGGAAGUGGCAGCCGUUCUGAGCAGUUCUGCUCUUUGGUGAGUGAUGCCUCCGGUUCUUUGGGCUUUGGAAGUGGCAGACGUAACCGAAUAAUGUUCCCUGCUUGAUGUUCAUAAUGAUUUAAAAAUUAUUAAGUGCCCGCUGAGGGUUUAAACUAACAGACACAGACAAAGAGAGGGGGAGCCAGAGGAGAAGCAAACAACAUACACCUCUAACAAGUGGAAAAUCACAUACUCACCAUGAUUACUGCUGCCACUUGAGAGUGAGGUAUCCCUUUUCCUCUUGCGGCUGUUCUGGGUGCUGUCAGAUGAAUGGCAGGAGUUCUGUGAAUAGAUAGGCUGUCCAUAUUCUUCAGUGAGAUCACUCUUCUCCAACUGCUCAGCUUCAUCUUUUCUAAUCCUUUGAGACUGCCCCUUCUUGUCAUUGAGGUUACCAUCACCGAUGUCACUGGCUAUAUCCUUGCCCUUCUCUUUCUCUUUUUUCUCCCUCUUCUUCUCCUUCUUCUCUUUCUUCUCUCUCUUUCUCUCUUUCCUGUCCUUCUGAUGUCUGUCUUCCUUGGCCUUCUUUUCUCUCUGGAGCUUUAAAGCACCAGAAAGACAUUUUAGAAUAUAGGGCUAGUGUAGACCAAAGAGUGAAGCAUGACCAACCUAAUGACAUGGAUAAUCUGUGCUUGUGAUAAAUAUAAUCCCAAAAAGGAAGAUAGACUCACAUAACACGUCCUAAUACAAAGUAUCAACUAUUCCAAGGUUUUCAUAUGAUUACUAAAGCAUUCUUGAAAAUCAAAAGGAUGCCAACCAAUAGCUUUUUUGAUUUGAAAGGAUGAAUACACUACCAUCACACUUUACUACUCAGCCUAACAAGAGUUUACCAAAUGCCAUUUGACAAGAAAAUGCCAACUGAAAAAUGAUUGAUUUAAUUAGUCUUGAAUUUCUAAAACCCCGCAUCAAUUUUCUUUGGUAACAAGCAGGAUACAGGCAUUUCUAUCUUAAUUCAACAGCUUUCAAGUCAUUCCAGAAUAUUGCUGGAUGGGAUACGGAUGAAAGAUAAAAUUAAGCUGCAUAUCCUCUACCUAAUAUCAAGUAAACUCUACAACCCUGUUUGGAAAGUGCAAUGCUGUGAUGAAUGAAUAACUGUGACAACAAAAUCCUACAACAUAAUAAGAGUGGAUAAUAAGAGCAUAAUUGUCUUAACAAUCAACAAAAUCAAAGAUUGUUGCGCACCCACUAUGAUACAAGAAAGGGCGUCAUAAUUAAAACCCUAAAUACACUUUGAAAUGCAAUAUCCCUUUCUCUCCAUCCCAUGGCUUAGGGGGUUUCGGCAAUAACGGCCCAUCUAGCCUCGAUAAGAGCAAGCUUAGCCAGGGAUCCAUCUCUCCUUAUACCCAUCUUGCUCAACACUCAGCUAAUAACAGUGCCAUGUCCCAUUAGCUUAAAAUUUAGCCACAACGAAUCGCUCGACCUAAAUUUUCAAUUUGUAACGAUUAAUCAAUUGGAAAAUAAUUGUUUGUUAAGCCUUUGGCAAUUAGAAUUGGUACAUCCAUUUGUAAAGCAUAAAAAUUUUCACAGUUCUAGUUUUCUUUGGAAUAAAGAUUUAGAUAACUCAAAAAAAAUGGGAUUUUAUAAUUUGUAAAUAAGGUGACUCAAAUCUACACCCAACCUAUACCAUUCUUCCAUCGCCAAUCAAUUUUAAGCCCCUUGGCAGUCAAAAAUAGUACAAGAUCUCCAUAACCUCGCAUAUCCUCGAAUCCAGUUAACCCAAUAUACACAUCCAAGAAACGAAGGACCAAAUCCAAGUUUUUUCUCUCAGUAAAUUUCAGAUCGUAUCCCGUUUACGCAACAACCUCUCAUCGAAAUCAGAACCACCCACAAAAGAACCGACGAUUCUCCUAUACCCGUAGAACCAAUAAACCCUAACAAAACGUUUCUUCUCGUAAUUUCAUAUAUACAUAAAUACGAUUGCUUACAAUCAGAUCAGCAUACAAAGUCGAGCAUAAACCGAAAAACCAAGCGCUCAACCAACCUUAGUCGACUCGAUCAAGGCCUCAUCGACUGUCCUCCUUGGAAAAUACCCUGGAGGCGGGUAAGGAAAGCAUCGAGACAUCCUCCUUCCUACUCAAAUGACCAAAAAAUGUAUGGAAAAAAUCCGGAUCCUAACAGAACAAAGGUGAGAAUUCAACAAUCUGAUGUUCGAUUGAGGAAAAAAAAUCGAAAAUCGAAGAUCGCAGAUCAAAGAAAGCUAAGUUCGGAAACCCUAGGUUUUGGGUCGAGGCGGCUACAGAAAGAAGACUCAAAC